AAAUUGAAGAGUUUGAUCAUGGCUCAGAUUGAACGCUGGCGGCAGGCCUAACACAUGCAAGUCGAACGGUAACAGGAAUCAGCUUGCUGAUUUGCUGACGAGUGGCGGACGGGUGAGUAAUGUCUGGGAAACUGCCUGAUGGAGGGGGAUAACUACUGGAAACGGUAGCUAAUACCGCAUAAUGUCGCAAGACCAAAGAGGGGGACCUU
rnacentral:rRNA from 1 species